UACGUAGGGUGCAAGCGUUGUCCGGAAUUAUUGGGCGUACAGAGCUCGUAGGCGGUCUGUCGCGUCGGCUGUGAAAACCCGGAGCUCAACUCCGGGCCUGCAGUCGAUACGGGCAAACUGGAGUGUUGCAGGGGAGACUGGAAUUCCUGGUGUAGCGGUGAAAUGCGCAGAUAUCAGGAGGAACACCGGUGGCGAAGGCGGGUCUCUGGGCAACAACUGACGCUGAGGAGCGAAAGCGUGGGGAGCGAACAGG
rnacentral:rRNA from 1 species